UGGUGCACUGAGCUGUGCAUUGCCUGGCUGCAUCUCAGCGGGUCACUCACGUUUUUGUUUGAUUUUUAGGCAGUCCUGACUAAUCUAAGCUCGGUGAACCCCACGCAGCUGAACGGAGCUUGCUUUGAGCAGCCUGUUCCCCUGAAGCACGGAGAUGUGUUAACCAUUAUUGAUCGUUCUUUCAGGUUUGAAUAUCCUCUGCAAUCAACACCAGAAAAGGGGCAUUCCAGGUCUUCAAAAGAUGAAACUCUGCAGGUUCUUCAUGUUCAGCAGGUGGCAGAAGUGGAAUUAUCGCACAAACAAACUCCAGGAGCUAAAAGUGUUGAUGCUUCAGAUAAUGCUGAGUGUGAAGAAAAAAAUACCAAUGAAAAUAAACAAACUCCAGAGAAAAAUCUUCCCGAAGCUUUCCCUGUCAAACUCCAAACACCCAAAUCUUCACAGAGAAUUCAUCGUG
rnacentral:lncRNA from 1 species